AUGGACGACUACCUCAAGCUACAUCAAGUCCCUUCCGAAGAUCAAGUGAAGUGCGCCACAAGAAACUUCCACGACUACGCCUCGACAUGGUGGCUUCACACACCUUCGGAGAGCUACGAGAUGAGUUGGUCCAAGACGAAGAAAGUGAUGCGGCCAGAGUUUGUGCCUCCAACCUACAUGGAACAUCUUCAACGCCAAUUGGAGAACACCAUACAAGGAUCCAAGUCCCUCGAUGAGUACUUCAAGAACAUGAAGGAAGCCUUGCGACGUGCCGGCGUGGACGACCCCAUUUGGAUGAAGUUCUACUUCAUGAUGGGAUUGAACAACGACAUCUCCAAGACUAUCUUUCUCAAGAACUACAAGUCCCUUGACGACAACUACUUUGGUGCUCUCAAGGCGGAGCAAGAACUCAAGAAGGCCAAGUCUACUCGACCCCGAGCUCACUUCACAACGACCAUGCUACAAGACGGCGAGAGUGAUGAUGUGCCAUCUUCGGCCUUCAUUCAUGACGAGAGUGAUGACAUGCCAUCUUCGGCCUUCAUCGAUGACGACAGUGAUGAUGUGCCAUCUUUGGCCUUCAUCCACGACGACGACUACGAGAUGGUUGAGCAUGGGAUUCUACCUUCGACCACGGCAACGUAUGAUGACUUGAGUGACUUUUGCCACCAUAUUGAGAGUGAGAGUGACUUCACCACUAGCCCCAUAUAUGAUGAGCCGCCCCAAUUCCCAUGUGAGGAGAGCCACCACCACCACCACUUGAGUGAUUUGAGUGCCUCCACCAUAUGCGACAUUCAGUGCACCUACCUUGAGGGAGUGAGUGAGCCACCGCCACAUAGAGAGAGUGAGAUAGUUGAUGAGGCAUAUGAGGCCAUUUCGGUUUCUAACAACUUAUCCUCUACCUCUAUUGUGUCUUCUCAUUUGGUGCUAGGUCCCAUAUAUGAUGACGCGUCGAUCCUCAACGACUUCGUCCUCCCUUUGGACAUGACGAUGGCCAUGGUGGAAUAUGAUGCACCCCCACAUGGUUCCAUCAUGAUGAAGAUGAACACGAUUUGGUCUUCCCCACCUCACCUACACCACUUGAGUGGAACGACAAAGGUAACAUAG
rnacentral:rRNA from 1 species